UGCUUCUUGGAACACUAAGAGAGGAGCUUCAAUCAAAACAUAAAUACAAAGUUCUGUUCGAGUAUGUAAUGCUUGCCGGAGUUAAUGAUAGUGUUGAGGAUGCAAAGAGACUAAUCGAUCUAGUCCAGGGCAUUCCAUGCAAGAUUAACCUGAUCACUUUUAACCCUCAUUCUGGAUCCUUCUUCAAACCAACUACAAGAGAGAAGAUAAUCGAGUUCAGAGACAUUCUUGCUGAAGCAGGAUGUGUGGUGCUUUUUCGAUGGAGUAGAGGAGAUGAUCAAAUGGCUGCCUGUGGUCAGUUAGGUAAACCAGGUGAAAUCCAAGCUCCCGUGCUUCGCGUGCCUUCCCAAUUUCAAGCAGUACUGGAAGCUGCCGCGUGAUUUCGUGUGCUCUUUUUUCAAGCAUGUUCAUCCUGGUUUUGUCCAAAAUGUCUCACAGUUUCAAACUUCAAA
rnacentral:misc_RNA from 1 species